rnacentral:lncRNA from 1 species
GUCAGUCCUCAUCUGCAGUGAUGACAGUAGUAGGUGGAACAUGCCUGUCCUUGGGCAACAGGGCAGUGCACGUGCCAGCACCAAGUGGUUCCAGGUAGGCUGAUUCUUGGGCCUCCAGAUGGCUUACUCAGGUGAAGACAGCAGCAGCAGCAGCAAGGGGCCAGGCAGGCUGGUGGGCCCUUGGGACCCUGGACAGCAGGCAUGGUAUGAGUGAUGGCAGUAGUAGUGGCAGGAAAACCCUCUGCCUCCCCAGCUGUCUGUACUGGUGUUGGUGGGGGCUGUGAUGUGCUGGGUGGGCCAGUCCCCAGGCCCACAGGUGGUGCAUACAGGUGGGUUCCAGCUGUGAUGAUAGCCGCAGGCUGGGUGGGUCUAUCCUUAGGCCCUUGUUAAGAGUACUCAGGUGCCAACAGUAGUGGAUGGGGUGGGGCAAUCCCCAGUCCACUGAACAGCAUGCUUGAGCACUAGGGGGCAUGGAGCCAGGCUGGAUGGGUCUGUCUUUGGGGCUCCCAGUGGCGCAUAUGGGCAAGGGCUGUGGCGGGCAGAGCUGGGUGAUCGCCAACCCCCCAGUGUAGUGCUCAGGUGAUAGUGGCAGUGGUGGAUGGGGAAGCCUGUCCCAGUGUGCAUGCAAGUGGCUGCAGCCCUGCUGAUGGGAAAGUGAGGUUGCUGUCAGUGGCAGCAGCUGUAGGCAGGCAGUUGAGGAGCUUGUGUUUUGGCCACAGGUGGGGCUGUGGGUGUGGGAGCUUGUCCUCAGUUCAUAUGUAAACGCACAGCAGCACCAUUGCUGGGGCUGGCAGGGUUGUUGCCCACGGCUUGCUUUUCAGCCCAGUGGCAGCAGCCAGCAACGGUGGUGGCUGUAGAAGUUUACGAAGACAAAAGAGGAAUGACGACUCAGCAUAUUGGAGCGUUCCACUUGGCUGGGAGCAGAUAAUGUGUGCAUCCCGAGAGCAGACAGAACCAAGAGCAGGCAAACUUAGAAGACACUCAGCUAAGCACUUGCUGACUUCUUACAGGUUCACCGAUCAGGUAGGUCACUGUCUUAGAAAGGGAGAGUGAUGGAGCUGGGGAUGCUGGACAUACUGAGGCAGGAUAAGUAAGACUAAGAGGUCAUAUUGACUUUUCUCCUUGUGUGAAGCCCAGAAGGCUCUGCAUCCCUUGUAUCCUUGUGUGUCAGCACCUAAUUCUUUUGCAAGAUAAGCAGUCCUA